ACUAAGCCGCCUCUCAAUGCAUUCUCCUCUCCUUACCCUUGCGCCUCAACUUCUCUUCUUGUCAUCCAACUAGUUCGAUCGAUCAAAUUAUCUGGUACUUACUCCUAUUUUCUAAUCGUAGAAGAAAAUGAUGGAUUCAUCCGCUGAAUCUUCAAACUCGAAGGGAACGAAGGGAUUUUCAGUAAACCUAGCUAUUCUGGAUUGUAACCAAGCUGCAAGUUAAUUUGUCGUGGAUGAAGGAUGAACGAUGAUAACUCUGUUACACCCAGAAACCCCGAGACCAUGGAAAUCUCACCGCUCUUUGGUGGUGAUAUCAUCCUUAUCAAGGACAUAUUGAAGACACAAGGGGGAUGCGUAGAUUGUUCAAUGCUGUUGAAUCUAUUCCCCGUGUUACAAGGAAGGAAAAGUGGGCCUUGAAUUAGAUUCAAAGGUAUUAUUACAUUUCCCCUACUCAUUGUUGUUACAUGUAUCGUCGUCGAUUUUUCUGGAACAAGGUUUAUGUUACUGAUCAGAUUUAGUUUCCCUUUCAAAUUUAUAGUUUGUUCGAGAAGGGUCAGGGGCUGUAUCAUGCACCAAGUUUUGUCUCUAUCUAUUAACAUCGUAGUCAGUGUCACGCUCUGAAUACUCUGUAUGUUGUGCUUACUAUUGGAUAGCUGGUAAUACAUAUUGUAAGAACCUACAUUUGAUAGGAAAGCAGGAUUUAAGCAUCUGAUCAAGUACACAAUGUUCUCUUCAUUGUUGCAGCUGGAGAUUUAUAGGUUUCAGCACAAGCUGUUCUUGUAAAAAACAAAUAUCGGCAAAUGUUAUCAGGUUUUCAAAGUUACCUAAAGCUGUGCUCUAUACAUCAAUUUAGAAGCUUGCAAGUUAUAUGGAAAUUGAUGAGCGUUCUUUAAGGUUGAUGAUUAGAGAUUGGGAACCAAAAUUGUUUUCACUUUUCCCAGUUUAGGACCUGCACAUCCCAGGCCAAUUUUUAUGACUUAGAAGCACAAAAGCCAUCCUGUUUCUGUUGACGGCUGAAAGAUUACCUCCAAUGCGGGUUAAUUUACUUGUUGAUGCCUGUGACUGUGUUUUUAGAUCUUUUGUACGGAUAUUAUUGAUUUGUAAGAAUAACUAUAUGGCACACUAUACAGGAAUCAGUGUAUUGUAAUGUUUUUUCAAAUAAAUAAAUAAAUAGAAUGUUCACUUUCAA